UGUUCGUCCGUCUGUCUGUUUUAAAUUUAAAGCGCGUCUUUAUUUACGAUUGUUUUUAAGUUUACAUCAAUUAUGCGUUCUGUUCUGAUAUGGGAAGCGCAGUUACUAGAUAAAGAAGAAAAUCCCCAAUGUGUCUAUGACAUAGCUGUCAAGCCUGAUGGAUCUAUGGUUAUUAUUGCAUCAGGGCCGAAGUUAUUAGCUUAUGAUACGGAAGGGAAGCUGUUGCAGUCUCUGAAAGGCCAUUCUGACUUAGUUUACUGCAUAUGUUUCUCUAAAGAUGGUCAAAGAUUUGCAUCAGGUGGUGCUGAUAAGCAAGUUAUCAUUUGGACUUCAAAACUGGAAGGAAUUUUACGAUAUUCGCAUCAUGACGCUGUGCAGUGCCUUUCGUACAAUCCAGUGUCAGAUCAACUUGCCAGCUGUGCUUGCACAGAUUUUGGUUUAUGGUCUCCAGAGCAAAAAAGUGUUUCAAAGCACAGAAUAAGUGCACGCAUCACAAGUUGUAGCUGGACUUGUGAUGGAAUGAUUUUAGCUCUUGGUCUCAUUAGUGGAUAUAUAUCUUUGCGAGGAAGGAAUGGGGAUGAAAGGGUGAAAAUUGAAAGACCAGGUGGUAUUGGAUCUCAAGUUUGGGGAGUUUGUUGGAGCCCUGUUAAGGAUAAUAAUGACACAGUUCUUGCUGUAGUAGAUUGGGGACAAUCAUUAUCAUUCUAUAAUAGUGCUGGGAAACAGGUUGGACGAGAACGAGCAUUAGGAUUUGAUCCCCUUAGAGUAACUUAUUUUUCUAAUGGUGAAUACAUAAUAAUUUGUGGCACUAACAAGAAAUGUUCCUUAUAUACUAAGGAAGGAGUUUUUGUAGGUUAUAUAUCUGAACAAGAUUCCUGGGUAUGGUGCUGUGCAACAAAAGCUGAUUCCACGCAUGUGGCAAUUGGAAGUCAAGAUGGUAUUGCUGCAUAUUAUGAAGUUUGUUUUACCACUGUUCAUAGUUUAUAUCGUGAACGUUAUGCUUAUCGGCAAAACAUGACAGAUGUAGUUGUUCAGCAUUUAAUCACAGAAGAUAAAGUGGUCGUAAAGUGCCGAGAAUUGGUGAAGAAAUUGGCUAUUUAUAAGAAGCGUUUAGCAAUACAGAUGCCUGAAAGGAUCAAUAUAUAUGAAGUAUCAGAUGAAUCGUCUGACAUGCACUACAAAGUGAAGGAAAAGAUAAACUUAAAAGUUGAAUGCACAUUAUUAGUUGUAUGUGCUAAGCAUAUUGUACUUUGUCAAGAAAAAAUUCUUCAGUGUUUGUCAUUCCAAGGCGUUUUGGAGAAAGAAUGGGUUAUGGAUGCUCUAAUUCGAUACAUAAAAGUCAUAGGUGGGCCACCAGGAAGUGAAGGCCUCCUUGUUGGAUUAAAAAAUGGACAGGUGAUAAAGAUAUUUGUUGAUAAUGCAUUACCUGUUUCAGUACUGAAAAUUGGGGCUUCAAUUCGUUGCUUAGAUCUUAGUGCCAAGCGAAAAAAAUUAGCCAUUGUGGAUGAUAAUAGUACUUGCAGUGUUUAUGAUCUUAGCAAUAAUGAACUAAUUUAUCAGGAGCCGAACGCAAAUAGUGUAGCAUGGAACAAUCAGAACGAAGAUAUGCUGUGUUUCACUGGUGCUGGACUGAUAAAUAUCAAAGUGGAAAAUUUUAAUGUGCAACAGCAGAAAUUUCAGGGUUUUGUAAUUGGAUUCUGUGGAGCUAAAGUAUUUUGCUUGCAUUUUAAUUCUAUUUCAACAAUUGAUAUUCCAUUGUCUGCAUCUAUGUAUCAGUACAUCGAGAAAAAGAUGUUCAAUAAAGCAUAUUCUGUUGCAUGCCUGGGAGUUACUGAUGGAGACUGGAGGGCUCUAGCUGAAGCUGCAAUACAGAAUUUAAGCUUAGAUGUGGCUCGACAAGCUUUUAUCCGUGUGAAGGACCUUUUGUUUCUGAAGUUGAUUAAAUCAUUGGAAGUUCGUAGAAAAAGCGAAUCUGAUUACUCACUGAUAGGAGAUGUGUAUGCAUACCUUGGAAAAUUCAAUUUAGCAGCCAGUGUUUACCAAAAAGCAAAUGCUGAAGGCAAAGCUUAUAUGAUGUAUAUUGACUUACGUAUGUUCGAUAAAGCGCAGGAAUUUCUUUCAACUUCUGAUGAUCAAGAAAAAAGAAGUCUUGUGUUAAAGAAAGCUGAAUGGGCAAAAACUAUCAGUGAGCCUAGAGCAGCAGCAGAAAUGUAUCUGUCAGUUGGGGAAAUAGAAAAGGCUGUGGAAUUAGCAGCUGAAAAUAAUUGGGCUGAUAUGCUAAAAUCUAUUGCUAAAAAAGUGGAUAUAAUUGAGCACAAAACCAUUUCUAUCAUUGGAAACCAUUUAAAACGGCUGCAGGAAUAUGGUGCAGCAGCUGAAAUAUUUCAUAAAAUUGGUGACAUUCCAUCUCUUGUUGAAAUGAAUGUUGAAGCUAAGAACUGGAAGGAGGCAUUUGAACUUGCAAAGCAAUAUCCAAUGUACAAGGAGAGUGUUUAUGUACCUUAUGGGAAUUGGUUAGCUGAGAAUGAUCGUUUUGUUGAAGCUCAGAAAGCUUUUUGUAUUGCUGGUCAACAAGAUUUAGCUGAAAAUGUUUUGGGCAAACUUACAAAAAUUGCUGUGAAUGAAAAGCGAUUCCGUGAAGCUGGUUAUUAUUACUGGAUACUUUCUAUGCAAACUUUGAAGUUUUCUGCAGAUUUAACAGAUGAAGUGGAAAUUAAAGCAGCAGUUAAGAAAUUUUGGGAUCAGCAGUUUGCUGCUGAAAUAUAUUAUGUGUACAGCUUUAUUUAUAAUUACCUCGAAGAGCCUUUCACUAUGCAACAUACUGAGACUUUGUUCAAUAUGUCACGAUAUUUAUGGCUUGAGUUAGUCAAAAUCGACUUUCCUGGUAUUUCAAAAUUCCGGAUAUUUUAUGCAUCUGCAAAACAGAGUUGUGCAAUGAAAGCCUAUAAACUUGCACGUAUGGCAUAUCAACAAGCAAAUCUGUAUCGAGUGCCUGAGCGAUUUAGGGAUUCACUUGAAAUAGCAACAAUGCAUGUCCAUGCAAAACCAUUUACAGAUGCUGAAAAGUUUUGCCAGUUGUUGAAUUUUUCCUUGAAAAUGGCAUUACGGAUGAUGAAGCUUAUAAGUUAUUGUGUAGGAAGCCGAACUUAGCUCCUGAUAAUACAAUGAAAAUUGAAGAAGACAUUCAGUACUUGAAACUGGACUAUAAUGAUCCAUUUGAGAGAGACUCUGAAGCUGAUUCAAGCAUGUUUUCAUAUGAUACAUUAACUGGGGAACCUGGACCUUUGAUUUUAAAUCGUGCUCAGCUGGAAAAAAUGAACAU
rnacentral:misc_RNA from 1 species